rnacentral:misc_RNA from 1 species
GAUGAAGAAUGCAGCGAAAUGCGAUAAGUAAUGUGAAUUGCAGAAUUCAGUGAAUCAUCGAAUCUUUGAACGCACAUUGCGCCCGCCAGUAUUCUGGCGGGCAUGCCUGUUCGAGCGUCAUUUCAACCAUCAAGCCCCCGGCUUGUGUUGGGGACCUGCGGCUGCCGCAGGCCCUGAAAAGCAGUGGCGGGCUCGCUGUCACACCGAGCGUAGUAGCAUACAUCUCGCUCUGGGCGUGCUGCGGGUUCCGGCCGUUAAACCACCUUCAUAACCCAAGGUUGACCUCGGAUCAGGUAGGAAGACCCGCUGAACUUAAGCAUAUCAAUAAGCGGAGGA